GAUUAUGACGUACUUGUACUGAUUGAGAUUUUAACACGAAGUGAGUGGCGAACGGGUGAGUAACACGUGGGUAACCUGCCCAGAAGUAGGGGAUAACACCUGGAAACAGAUGCUAAUACCGUAUAACAGAGAAAACCGCAUGGUUUUCUUUUAAAAGAUGGCUCUGCUAUCACUUCUGGAUGGACCCGCGGCGUAUUAGCUAGUUGGUGAGGUAAAGGCUCACCAAGGCAGUGAUACGUAG
rnacentral:rRNA from 1 species